GCCGACGUGGUGGAAUUGGUAGACACGCUAUCUUGAGGGGGUAGUGGCGAAAGUCGUGCGAGUUCAAGUCUCGCCGUCGGCACCA
rnacentral:tRNA from 5 species